rnacentral:snRNA from 1 species
AAAAAUAUGGAACUCUUCACGAAUUUGCAUGUCAUCCUUGCGCAGGGGCCAUGCUAACCUUCUCUGUAUUGUUCCAGUUUUAGUAUAUGUGCUGCUGAAUUGAGCAC